rnacentral:tRNA from 1 species
UGGUGUAUAGCUCAAGUGGUAGAGCGCGUGCUUAGCAUGCAUGAGGUUCUGGGUUCAGUCCCUGGUACCUCCU